rnacentral:rRNA from 1 species
AUGGCUGGUGACCCGAUCCUCCUCACAGUGAACGCUAAGCGGUACAAGACCUUCUUCUACUGCAACUCCGUCGCCUUCGUAGCCUCUUUGGUGGCCAUCAUCCUGGUACAAAGCAAGGUUAUGCUCCAGACCCAUGUCCUCCAGGCAGCCAUGAUACUGGACUUGUUUGGCCUCAUCGGAGCAUAUGCUGCGGGAAGCUCUCGGGACUUGACCACCUCCAUUUACGCCAUGGCCUUGCACUGCUGA